GCGCCGUUAGAUCAGUUGGUUAGAUCGUCAGCUUUACACGCUGAAGGUCAAGGGUUCGACUCCCUUACGGCGUA
rfam:Naegleria gruberi genomic scaffold NAEGRscaffold_7, whole genome shotgun sequence.